CAUCAAGGGAGAACAGGAGAGGAGAGAAAAGGGAAGGAAGGAAGAGAAUGCCUUGCAUUAAGGACUCGCAUAGGAAAUUACCCAAAAUCAUUUCAAUCAUCAAAGUAGGUCGUUGAGGACAAUUUACAAAUUGGCUCGACUCUGGAGAAAACUUUUGAAGAAAACUCUGUAACGUAUAGAAGCCUUUAAAAUUGAACUUUAUUUGGAUUUGUGGCAUUUGGAAAAGUGGUCUAUAAAAAAAUCUGGAAUUAGGCCCUAUCAUAUCCAUAAUCUUUGGGGAAAACUAAGGACAUUAUUAUAAAUUAACAUUUCUUUCUAUGAAUUUACUGGAAUUAUGAGCAGUUUUUAUUCUCUUAGAAAAAUUCGACACACAGCUAUUCAUUAAACUAAAAUAGAAAAAUCAAGAUUGUUGCAUUCGAUCAAGCAGUAAUUUUAUUUUAAAAACCUAAUAAAAAACAAUUUGCUCUGAA
ensembl:lncRNA TMEM212-IT1 TMEM212 intronic transcript 1